AGGACGAACGCUGGCGGCGUGCUUAACACAUGCAAGUCGAACGGGGUCCAAGGAGUAGCAAUACUCCUGAAGACCUAGUGGCGAACGGGUGAGUAACACGUGAGCAACCUGCCCCAAAGACUGGGAUAACACCGGGAAACCGGUGCUAAUACCGGAUACCCUCACCGGGUCGCAUGGCCUGGUGAGGAAAUGAAUUUCGCUUUGGGAGGGGCUCGCGGGAUAUCAGGUUGUUGGUGGGGUAACGGCCUACCAAGCCAUCGACGUCUAGCUGGUCUGAGAGGACGAUCAGCCACACUGGGACUGAGACACGGCCCAGACUCCUACGGGAGGCAGCAGUGGGGAAUCUUGCCCAAUGGGCGAAAGCCUGAGGCAGCAACGCCGCGUGUGGAUGACGGCCCUCGGGUGUAAACCACUUUCAGCAGGACGAAAAUGACGGUACCUGCAGAAGAAGCUCCGGCCAACUACGUGCCAGCAGCCGC
rnacentral:rRNA from 1 species